GAACACACGCAAUUGAAAGAAAGAAUAAUUACUAAAUUCUUUAAUUCUGCUCCGUAAAAACGAUUUUCAUUCGAUGCAUAUCGUUUUUUGCUAACAAGACAGAGAGUGCAAGAAAUAAAGGAUGAAGGGCCGAAGAAAAUUAAAGAGACGAGGAAACUCCCGAUUACGACAAAAAAUUGCAAAUACCGAGGAUAAAGGAUUUCGAGACCGAGUCCUUAGCGGUGCAUGGAGAUCUGGCCCGACCGUCGGCUGAAACAGACUGCGACUGAGGUCUGAGGCGGCAGCAGCAGCAGCGCGACGACCGCCGAUCGUUUGCUGUCCAUCCGUCGGUGUUUCCACACCUUGCGUUAUACGGCCAAGAAAAGGACAGUAGAGGUCAAGGAUUCGGGGAAUUUUGCAUCGGCAUUCGAGGGUCUGAGGCUGAGUACCGAUUCCAUAUUGCAAGACAGGUUUAAGUCGAAAUGCAA
rnacentral:lncRNA from 1 species